rnacentral:rRNA from 1 species
UGGGGAAUUUUCCGCAAUGGGCGCAAGCCUGACGGAGCAAGACCGCGUGCGGGAGGACGGCCUAUUGGUUGUAAACCGCUUUUGAUAGGGAAGAAGCUCUGACGGUACCUAGUCAGAAUCAC